CCUGGUUGAUCCUGCCAGUAGUCAUAUGCUUGUCUCAAAGAUUAAGCCAUGCAUGUCUAAGUAUAAACAACUUUGUACUGUGAAACUGCGAAUGGCUCAUUAUAUCAGUUAUAGUCUACUCGACAGUACCUUACUACUUGGAUAACCGUAGUAAUUCUAGAGCUAACAUGCAUAAAUACCCAACUGCUUGUCGGACGGGUAGCAUUUAUUAGAUUGAAACAAAUUCACUUCGGUGAUUUUGUGUUGAAUCAUAAUAACUGUGCUGAUAGCUCUAAGCGAUAAGUCGAUUGAGUUUCUGCCCUAUCAGCUUUGGAUGGUAGGAUAUGGCCCUACCAUGGCGUUAAGGGGUAACGGGGAAUUAUGGUUUGAUUCCGGAGAAGGAGCCUUAGAAACGGCUACCACAUCCAAGGAAGGUAGCAGGCGCGUAAAUUACCCAAUCCUGACACAGGGAGGUAGUGACAAUAAAUAACAAUGCCGGGCUAAUUUAGUCUGGUAAUUGGAAUGAGAACAAUUUAAAUCCCUUAACGAGGAUCAAUUGGAGGGCAAGUCUGGUGCCAGCAGCCGCGGUAAUUCCAGCUCCAAUAGCGUAUAUUAAAGUUGUUGCAGUUAAAAAGCUCGUAGUUGGAUUUCUGGUUUGAGCGUCCGGUCGACUUUAUGUCAGUACUAUGGAUGUUUGGGCCAUAUUUUGUGAGGAUGCCUUUCUGCCAUUGAGUUGGUGGUUAUGUGGACUUGCAUCGUUUACUGUGAAAAAAUUAGAGUGUUUAAAGCAGGCAUUUGCUCAUUUGAAUACAUUAGCAUGGAAAAAUAAGAUACGGCCUUGGUGGUCUAUUUUGUUGGUUUGCACGCCAGGGUAAUGAUUAAUAUGGCACCCUUUACGGUUCAAGUCCUCACCUUGUCAGAGACUUGAAUAAAAACCAACAUACGACAUUUGAUCUUUGUAUUGAAAAUGAAGAGUCGUCUACCAAAGAGAGCCUACGAAGUAUUGAACUUUUAACCAAUACAGCUGUAAGACGACUAAUGUCGGAUAGAUUUGUCGUAUGUGUAAGACGACUAAUAGAGCUCUUUCGAAAACCUGUUGAGCUAGAGUUUGAGUUUCGCCAUGUGUUUUCCAGUGAUUUGAUUGGCCAAUGCAAAAAUACUGUAUUUGAAACGCAACUCCAGUUGACACAAGUCGGCCGAUGUCUCAACGACGAUUUGAGUUAGAGUUUCGCUGGAGUCAGGUGUGACACAUGGCGCGUCAUGGUCAUAUGCAAAUUAUAACCAAUCAAACUACAGAACUCCUGCACGUGGAAAAGAAUGCAUGCGAGAAGUCAUAAUAUCAACAUGAACAAUAUGUUCGGUAAGCACCUAAGUAGGUCAUAUCUCUUGAAAUUUGUAUCUCUAACAGAUAAGAUAAUUUUGUCUACUAUGGGCACUCAUGGGUUGUGUCAAACUCAAACUCUUGGGGUCUUCGAAAGAGCCAUAA
rnacentral:rRNA from 1 species